GACGAACGCUGGCGGCGUGCUUAACACAUGCAAGUCGAACGCUGAAGCUCAGCUUUUGUUGGGUGGAUGAGUGGCGAACGGGUGAGUAACACGUGAGUAACCUGCCCCCUUCUUUGGGAUAACGCCCGGAAACGGGUGCUAAUACUGGAUAUUCACUGGUCUUCGCAUGGGGGUUGGUGGAAAGGGUUUUUCUGGUGGGGGAUGGGCUCGCGGCCUAUCAGCUUGGUGGUGGGGUGAUGGCCUACCAAGGCUUUGACGGGUUGCCGGCCUGAGGGGGUGACCGGGCACAUUGGGACUGCGAUACGGCCCAGACUCCUACGGGAGGCAGCAGUGGGGAAUAUUGCACAAUGGGCGCAAGCCUGAUGCAGCGACGCCGCGUGAGGGAUGGAGGCCUUCGGGUUGUGAACCUCUUUCGCUCAUGGUCAAGCCGCAACAAUGGUUGUGGUGAGGGUAGUGGGUAAAGAAGCGCCGGCUAACUACGUG
rnacentral:rRNA from 1 species